rnacentral:rRNA from 1 species
CUACGGGCGGCAGCAGUCGAGGAAAUUUUACAAUGCUCGCAAGAGUGAUAAAAUAAACCAGAGUGUUUCUCCUAGAGAAACUUUUGCCUAAUGUAAAAAGUUAGGCGAAUAAGGACUGGGCAAGACCGGUGCCAGCCGCCGCGGUAAUACCGGCGGUCCAAGUCGUAUCCACAUUUAUUGGGUCUAAAACAUUCGUAGCUUGUUUAACAAGUUUCUUGUGAAAUCUGACAUCUCAAGUGUCAGGCGUGCAAGAAAUACUGUUUUACUAGAGACCGGAAGAUGCAAAGAGUAUGAUUAAGGUAGCGGUAAAAUGUGUUAAUCUUAAUCAGACUAACAAUGGCGAAGGCACUUUGCAAGUACGGAUCUGACAGCGAGGAAUGAAGGCCAGGGGCGCAAAAGGGAUUAGAUACCCGUGUAGUC